GAUCCUGGCUCAGAAUCAACGCUGGCGGCGUGCCUCAGACAUGCAAGUCGAACGCGAAAGUCCCCUUCGGGGGACAAGUAGAGUGGCGCACGGGUGAGUAACACGUAGGUAAUCUACCUUUGGAUGGGGAAUAACCACCGGAAACGGUGGCUAAUACCGCAUAAUGCAGCGGCACCUAAUGGUGACAGUUGUUAAAGCGGGGGAUCGAAAGACCUCGCGUCUAAAGAGGAGCCUGCGGCGGAUUAGCUAGUUGGUAAGGUAAUGGCUUACCAAGGCUACGAUCCGUAACCGGCCUGAGAGGGCGGUCGGUCACACUGACACUGACAUACGGGUCAGACUCCUACGGGAGGCAGCAGUCGGGAAUUUUGGGCAAUGGGCGAAAGCCUGACCCAGCAACGCCGCGUGAAGGAUGAAAUCCCUCGGGAUGUAAACUUCGCAAGAACGGGAAGAAUAAGUAGGGGACAAUACCCCCUAUGAUGACGGUACCGUUUGUAAGCUCCGGCUAACUCCGUGCCAGCAGCCGCGGUAAUACGGGGGGAGCAAGCGUUGUUCGGAUUUACUGGGCGUAAAGGGCGCGUAGGCGGUCAGCACAAGUCAGUUGUGAAAUCUCCGAGCUUAACUCGGAAAGGUCAACUGAUACUGUGCGACUAGAGUGCAGAAGGGGCAACUGGAAUUCUCGGUGUAGCGGUG
rnacentral:rRNA from 1 species